rnacentral:rRNA from 1 species
UACGGGGGGGGCAAGCGUUGUUCGGAAUUACUGGGCGUAAAGGGCUCGUAGGUGGCCAACUAAGUCAGACGUGAAAUCCCUCGGCUUAACCGGGGAACUGCGUCUGAUACUGGAUGGCUUGAGAUUGGGAGAGGGAUGCGGAAUUCCAGGUGUAGCGGUGAAAUUCGUAGAUAUUGGGAAGAACACCGGUGGCGAAGGCGGCUAUCUGGCCCGUAAUUGACGCUGAGGCGCGAAAGCGUGGGGAGCAAACAGG